GUGCUCACUUCGGCAGCACGUAUACUACAAUUGGAACAAUACAGAGAAGAUUAGCAUGGUCCCUGCUCAAGGAUGACACAUAAAUUUGUGAAGCAUUCCAUAUUUUU
rnacentral:snRNA from 1 species